rnacentral:rRNA from 1 species
UACAGAGGUCCCAAGCGUUGUUCGGAUUCACUGGGUGUAAAGGGUGCGUAGGCGGUCGGGUAAGUCUGAUGUGAAAUCUCACAGCUUAACUGUGAAACUGCAUUGGAUACUAUCCGGCUAGAGGAAUGGAGGGGAGACUGGAAUACUUGGUGUAGCAGUGAAAUGCGUAGAUAUCAAGUGGAACACCAGUGGCGAAGGCGAGUCUCUGGACAUUUCCUGACGCUGAGGCACGAAAGCCAGGGGAGCAAACAGG